rnacentral:tRNA from 1 species
GCCUGUGUGGCUCAGUGGGUAGAGCGUCGGCCUGGGGACUGAAGGGUCCCGGGUUCGAUUCCGGUCAAGGGCA